GAGGGGAAAACCGAAAACCCUAAAAAGAGUAGGUA
rfam:Pedobacter cryoconitis strain PAMC 27485, complete genome.